ACAUGAGAGUUAUGAGUUCGCCGUCAGGUUUUAAGAGUUCAUACAUAGAUUUAGCCCAUGCAGGUCUCAUCUCCGGUUCAAUGGCACAGAAGAACCU
rnacentral:sRNA from 1 species